GACUCAGUACAGAAAGCCAAACCUAGGCUAGUUACAAAAGUUCUCUUCUUCUGGAAUACUUCAUAGCUUAAUGUUAGUUGGAUGUUAUUUGUAAAUAAAGGCCACUAUUUCAGAAUGUACUGUUAACGGAACUUCCACACAGCCACGGCUCAAAAAACCAACAGUCACAGUGAACAGCUCUUUGUCUUCUUCUUCGUUGGUGUCUCCUGCAGGUGGAGUUCGUGUGUUAUGUGUUUCACGGGGAGCAGUCCCGCUGGCGCCCUCUAAACCUGGAGCUGGUAUUGCAGCGCUGCAGCGAGGUGCAGCACUGGGUCGCCACGGAGAUCCUGCAGUGCCAGUCGCUGCCGAAGAGGGUCCAACUGCUCCGCAAGUUCAUCAAGAUCGCAGCACUCUGUAAGCAGCAGCAGGACUUGCUGUCUUUCCUCGCUGUGGUUCUGGGUCUAGACAACCCUGCUGUCAGCAGACUGCGACUCACCUGGGAGGGUCUCCCGGGGAAGUUCAGGAAGCAGUUUCAGCAGUUUGAGGGCGUCGCGGACCCGUCCAGGAACCAUAAGUCCUACAGAGACCUGAUCACCAGCCUGAGACCUCCACUGAUCCCCUUCACUCCUCUGCUGCUCAAAGGUGAGUCUGGACCUGAGACCACGUGAUCACACCAACAACCAAUCAGAAGCCUCCUGAUAGUCACGUGACCAUUCCCUUGUUGCCACGGUCCCCUGAGAGUCUCUCCUGAACUCCUUGUGAUCGUUUCUCUUAUUGCUCCUCUGAGACGACUUUCCUCCUCCAGCUGUGGACCAGAUGUGAAGCCGUGUUAGCGACGUUAGCUCCUCCUCGCUAAUUAGCACCUCUGGCUAAUCAGCUGCAUGUCGCUGUUAACACACACACACACACACACACACACACACGUUCAGUGUGAAAGGACUUUAAAUUAGAUUACUGCACACACUGAACGCCUCUU